rnacentral:rRNA from 1 species
UUUACCAUGCAGUCGAACGGCAGCGCGGGGUAACCUGGCGGCGAGUGGCGAACGGGUGAGUAAUACAUCGGAACGUGCCCUGUGAUGGGGGAUAACUACGCGAAAGCGUAGCUAAUACCGCAUACGACCUACGGGUGAAAGUGGGGGAUCGCAAGACCUCACGUCAUAGGAGCGGCCGAUGGCGGAUUAGCUAGUUGGUGAGGUAAAGGCUUACCAAGGCAACGAUCCGUAGCUGGUCUGAGAGGACGACCAGCCACACUGGGACUGAGACACGGCCCAGACUCCUACGGGAGGCAGCAGUGGGGAAUCUUGGACAAUGGGGGCAACCCUGAUCCAGCAAUGCCGCGUGUGGGAUGAAGGCCUUCGGGUUGUAAACCACUUUUGGCGGGGGCGAAAUAUCGAGUGCUAAUACCAUUCGGUGAUGACGGUACCCGCAGAAUAAGCACCGGCUAACUACGUGCCAGCAGCCCGGGG